CGGAUGGGUGGGGCAAAGUGGACCAAUGGUGGGAGAGGAACAAAAAACGGAGCUAAGCAUAAGUAUAGUUCGUUUAAGUUUGUUCAGCGGCAGUUUAUUAACGGAAUUAAAAGCCGGAAAGCUUGCAUCGUUGUGUAACUUUGUAAAACCGGAAAGUGGGCAUCAUUUAGAGCUCGUUUUCUGUCAGUUUAAGUUAAUGUAAUUGUCAUGAACGCCACAACUGGGACUAUUGCUAGCUAGCUAGCUUGAAUGGCAAAUGAUAAAGUGUGUGUGGAAAACUCCGCAUUUCUGACGUGCUUUGGAUACUGCGCCACACACACACUGCCCCAGAAAACGUGCUCCGCACUUGCCGCUGCCGCGUGCCCGAGGAGCCUGCUUGACACACAAAUACACGGGCAAAGCUUUAGCACAUGUUUCUCAACUACACUGAUUGGACACGGAUGGACACAGGGCACAACUGCUCUUCAACAACUUUAGAUUCCACGAAAGGUGGAGGCCAUUCUGCUGUCCACAGCACAUUCCCCUGAAAAUACCUCUGGGGAUCCUUUCCUCAGUGGCCGUGCCAUCACUCCUAUCAUCAGUCCCCUGAGCUGUACCUGUCCUGGAAAGCAGGGAGGCACUGGAAAUGCAAUGCCAUAUCAUUAUUUGUGGCAGUGGGUCCCUAAUGAGAAUAUAUGAGACUGAUAUGUUCAGUUGGGGAAAAAAAUGUUUCAGUAUUGCAAUUGUUAACUAGUGAGGAAAAAAUGGUUAAUACAAAGCUUAAGGUGACUUAAAAUAGUUGCAUCAUUUGGCAUUGCAAAUAAGCAUUUACGAGUAAAGUAUAACGCAUAGGUAAAAACUGUCUCCAGAGGCCACUUAAUACUUUCCAGUAUUUUGAUAAUGAAGAAGCUCACAGUUGGUGUUAUCUUGAGAGCUCAUGUUUGUCAGCUGAUUUGUUAAAUUAUUCUUCACCCAUGUGUGUCAUGAGAUGCUAAAAAGUGACAAAACUGAUGUAUUAGCUUGCUUUUGUGGGGAUUUAUUUAUUUAUUUUUUUACAUUUUGAACAUCCACAUUAAAUUUCAAAUGGUUUAUAUUUUACUUCAGCAUAUUAUUACUGUUCACUAUACAGUAUAAUGUAGAGUUCUUUCUUAAAAUUUGCUCUUAUCUGUGAAUGACUUGACUUAU